UAGGUAUAUACACCUAGCAGUGGAAUUACUGGAUGAUAUGAAUUGUCUAUAUAUAGGAUCACGUCAUCUGUGAACAGAGAUAAUCUUACUUUUCCUUUCCAAUUUGGAUGCCAUUUAUAUCCAUUUCUUGCCUAAUUGCUCUGGAUAGAACUUCCAGUACACCGUUGAAUAGAAGUGGCAGAAGUGCACAUCUUUGUCUUAUUCCUGAUCUCAGGAUGAAAGCUUUCAGUCUUUCACCAUUGAAGGGCAUCUAAGAUAUAUCUCAUUCCUGCAGCUCAUGAUCUUUUUAAAACUAUUUCAAACCAGAGGUGCUACUGGACCAGCUGCUUGCUGUCCUGCGUAUUUGGGAGACUCCCUUUAUGGAACUUUACACAGACCAAAGUGGGUCUCUCCCAGGCAUCACCUGCAUCCCUGUGUUUCCCAAGGUCUUCAGACAGACCUUGCCAACUCCCGGGCAACUUUAGAAAGCGCUGUCCUUCUCAGGUUGCCUCAAAGAAGCAUGAAAUCCCUGGGAACUUCUUGUGCCUUUUGAACAAAUCAGCUCGAUGAAGGGAGAUGACUCAGUCUCCUUUGCCCCCGAAAGCAAGAGCCAACUCUGGCUACCAGCAGUCUUGGCUCCACAAAAGAACAAUUUACCCUGGUUCCAUCCCAGACUCCAGUCAGUCUCCCUGCAGCUUCAAGUGGCAUCAAAGAGGCCAGCUUGUCAUCCUUCUCCAGGAACUUACUGUUAGCAAAGACUUGCUUACUGACAAAUUCCUGCCUCCUUGAAGAAAU
rnacentral:lncRNA from 1 species